AAUAAGAAAAACACAAUAGUUUGAUAACCAUAUUUUGAACAAGUAUCUGCACAAAACUGAAGUUGUACAGGCAGCCAUAGGCUAUGACCACCACUUUAAAGCCACCAAUUGGGUUGCGCUUCCUCCAACAACCGCCGUUUUUUCUUGGUUCCAAAUCGCUAAAGUUCCCAACUACUCAGCUUCCCAGAAUCAACUGUAGCCACUCCUCUUUCGAAGUUCGAGAGGUUAGCUAUCAACCCCCGGGGACUCAGCUUAAACUUCUAAAUUCAGUUAGCUUUUCACUUCCAGAGAAAAGUUUCGGCCUAAUUUUCGGACAGAGUGGAAGUGGAAAAACAACCCUAUUGCAGCUUCUUGCAGGAAUAUGCAAACCAACCUCGGGAUCUAUUUACAUCCAAAAGUAUGGGAAUGAUGGAAAUCCUAGUCAAACUCCGGAGCCCUUGGUGCCAGAAAGGGUUGGUAUUGUCUUCCAGUUUCCUGAGAGGUAUUUUGUCGCAGAUAAUGUGCUUGAUGAAGUCACUUUUGGUUGGCCAAGGCAAAAGGGUAACCAUCACCUCAGGGAGAAUCUUACUCUAGGGCUACAAAGGGCAAUUAACUGGGUUGGAUUAAGUGGGAUAUCAUUGGAUAAAAAUCCUCACUCCCUUAGUGGUGGUUACAAACGCCGUCUUGCCUUGGCAAUACAAUUAGUGCAAACCCCUGAUCUAUUGAUAUUGGAUGAACCUCUUGCUGGACUCGAUUGGAAAGCACGUGCUGAUGUUGUGAAGCUGUUGAAGCAUUUAAAAAAGGAGUUAACUGUGCUAGUUGUUAGUCAUGAUUUGAGAGAAUUUGCGAAUCUAGUUGAUCGAUCAUGGAGAAUGGAAAUGGGUGGAAACCUUAAAGAAGAAUUUCUACCAUUGUAAUCUAUGCUCAUUGCCUUUUUAAUCUCCAUGACAUUCUAUGAGUUGAGCUGCUGCAUAUUUGCCCAAGCUGUGGUUGGUUCCAAUUGAUCAUACGUUGUUGGGACCACUCUCUUGAUUUGGUAUCUGGAUGAAAUUUUUUGCCGUUGUCUGGAUUUGUGGACUUCCGAUUAUCAUAUUCAUGGAAGAAUUUAUGAGAAACAUAUUGUAUCUCAUCUUUGUGGGAUUUAAUGCAGUCUUUUCCGUUUAUGGGGCUUUCAGGAUAGACUUUUCUGUGAAACAAACGUAGAGCCUGCAUACCAAGAUGAAUGAAUCAAAUCAUUUAUGAUAACGUCAUAGUAUUCAAUGUAUUUUCAAGACAUUCAUAUUGAAAUUAUUUCCACACAAGCACAUUGCAGAUUGAUUAAAACAUGUUGAAGAGAUAAUUCCUGUACCUGAAAGUUCAGUAUCACGCCUAGAAAGUGAACAGUCAUACUUUCCCAGGGGAAAACUGUAGUAACAGCUCAGGCGUGAACACAAACUGUAGUGAAGUUUCGGCGUAAACACUAUGUAGCAAUGUUUACUUUUAAGAUAUACAUGAAUGUUCUGCAGGGUUAGCACUUUCUUUAAUAAGGACAAAUAAUUGUUAUGGCCCAUUCUAAGUUAUACAUGUUUGGCUGUUUCUUCCUGCUUCCUGCACCUUUACAAGUUUCUUUAUCACCUCUGUUAAUUGUGGAAUGGAUUUUUCAUAGUGCACAUUCCUGAAUGAACAGGAGGUAGCAGAAAAAACUUGUGGGGUGCAUGAAGUCAGUGUCAAUAUACUUUAGAACACUGGUUUCUCCAAGGAUGGUAAUUUGUAAUUGAAUUAGCUCAUGAACAUACUUAUAUUAUAUCUGCUUUUUUA